rnacentral:piRNA from 1 species
UGGGUAGAAUGAGGUACUAGGCCAAAGUU